rnacentral:rRNA from 1 species
GAUGAACGCUGGCGGCGUGCCUAAUACAUGCAAGUCGAGCGAACAGGCGAGGAGCUUGCUCCUCUGACGUUAGCGGCGGACGGGUGAGUAACACGUGGAUAACCUACCUAUAAGACUGGGAUAACUUCGGGAAACCGGAGCUAAUACCGGAUAAUAUAUUGAACCGCAUGGUUCAAUAGUGAAAGACGGUUUUGCUGUCACUUAUAGAUGGAUCCGCGCCGCAUUAGCUAGUUGGUAGGGUAACGGCUUACCAAGGCAACGAUGCGUAGCCGACCUGAGAGGGUGAUCGGCCACACUGGAACUGAGACACGGUCCAGACUCCUACGGGAGGCAGCAGUAGGGAAUCUUCCGCAAUGGGCGAAAGCCUGACGGAGCAACGCCGCGUGAGUGAUGAAGGUCUUCGGAUCGUAAAACUCUGUUAUUAGGGAAGAACAAAUGUGUAAGUAACUAUGCACGUCUUGACGGUACCUAAUCAGAAAGCCACGGCUAACUACGUG